AACGAACGUUGGCGGCGUGGAUGAGGCAUGCAAGUCGAACGCGAAAGCCGCAAGGCGAGUAAAGUGGCGGACGGGCGAGUAACACGUAAUCAAGCUGCCUGCGAGACGGGGAUAACUUCGGGAAACCGAAGCUAAGACCCGAUGGCCUUGGGAGAUCGCAUGUUUUCCCAAGUAAAUGGGCGGGACCUUUCGGGGUCGCCUGCUCGCAGAGGUGAUUGCGGCCCAUCAGCUAGUUGGUAGGGUAAUGGCCUACCAAGGCAACGACGGGUAGCCGGCCUUAGAGGGUGGUCGGCCGCACUGGGACUGAGACACUGCCCAGACUCCUACGGGAGGCUGCAGUCGAGAAUCUUCCGCAAUGGGCGAAAGCCUGACGGAGCGACGCCGCGUGGAGGAUGAAGGCC
rnacentral:rRNA from 1 species